AUCCGAACAAUUCAUUUUCUACGAACGAACGAACGAACAAAAAGACCAAAAAAAUAUUCUACGAACGAACGAACGAACGUUCGUGGACAGCUAUGCAGCAACGGCUCGAUUUGGAGUUAGAAUGGUCACGACACUCAAGCACAUUUACAAUGAAAAUGGUAUUGUCUCAUUUUCUACAUACGAGGUACUCAAAAAAGCACUAAAUCUUGACACCGGCAUGAAAAUUUAAUUACAGGCGGUCUUUUUUCCGGAAAACGCACACAUGACAACAAAGUUCAUGCAAUAGUUUAAAAAAAAUAUCAUAAGUGUUAAAAAAAUCAAUUAUUUUUUUCUUUUAAUUUGUUUACCUGUUUUAUUGGAAUUAUUAUUUUUGUAAUGUUGAAAAUGUAUGACAAUGGCAAUUUGUCAAAAUGAAUCAAUUGCAUCACAUUAAUUAAGCAAAGGCUAAGACAGUAGGUAGUAUUUGCUUUCAGUGGCAUAAAAUAACUUAAAUACCUUGGUCAAAUGUAAUUAAAUCUCCCAAUACGUUAGUCAUUGGAUUUUCCACAAAUCAACAGCCAAUGGUCAUCAUGAUAUUAGUUAACCAAUAUUGUUGAAUUGUUCUUGUGUCUGGGCGUAUUAUUUAAAACAAAAUAAGCGUGUAUUGUUACAUUGUUAAAAUAUAUUGAUUUUUUACAACUUU